rnacentral:rRNA from 1 species
UACGGGGGGGGGCAAGCGUUGUUCGGAAUUACUGGGCGUAAAGGGCUUGUAGGUGGCCAACUAAGUCAGACGUGAAAUCCCCUCGGCUUAACCGGGGAACUGCGUCUGAUACUGGAUGGCUUGAGUGUGGGAGAGGGAUGCGGAAUUCCAGGUGUAGCGGUGAAAUGCGCAGAUAUCAGGAGGAACACCAGCGGCGAAGGCGGCGCUCUGGCCGGUACUGACGCUGAGGCGCGAAAGCCGGGAGCAAACAGG